GAUGAACGCUGGCGGCGUGCCUAAUACAUGCAAGUCGAGCGAACAGAUGAGGAGCUUGCUCCUCUGACGUUAGCGGCGGACGGGUGAGUAACACGUGGAUAACCUACCUAUAAGACUGGGAUAACUUCGGGAAACCGGAGCUAAUACCGGAUAAUAUAUUGAACCGCAUGGUUCAAUAGUGAAAGACGGUUUUGCUGUCACUUAUAGAUGGAUCCGCGCCGCAUUAGCUAGUUGGUAAGGUAACGGCUUACCAAGGCGACGAUGCGUAGCCGACCUGAGAGGGUGAGCGGCCACACUGGAACUGAGGCACGGUCCAGACUCCUACGGGAGGCAGCAGUAGGGAAUCUUCCGCAAUGGGCGAAAGCCUGACGGAGCAACGCCGCGUGAGUGAUGAAGGUCUUCGGAUCGUAAAACUCUGUUAUUAGGGAAGAACAAAUGUGUAAGUAACUAUGCACGUCUUGACGGUACCUAAUCAGAAAGCCACGGCUAACUACGU
rnacentral:rRNA from 1 species